rnacentral:lncRNA from 1 species
AUUGGUGAAUAAUGUCGGCACAGAAGAACUUAGAUAAGAAGGAUACCUCAGUUCAAAACAUUACGGGCAAGUUAGAAAAGUCCCUAAGCAUUGGGGAUGGAAAAAAAGAUGAGGCUAAAGCUACGGAUGCUGCAAAUGCCCAAGCUAUAGGAAAAAAUUUCCGCCCUAAACUCACAAGCAAAUCAAACAGCACAGUUAGUGCUGAUCCUGACAAAAUUCUUGAAUAUGCAAAGGACAAAGUCGCUUCAAAGGCAGCUAAAAAUAAGAAGAAAGGAUCUCCAGGAGAGAAAGGUAGCGGCUCAACAAGCAAGCCAGGGGGAUCCAACAGUAAUUCUGGAGGAAAUAACCCGAAACCAGUUAUGAGUUAUGCUUCAAAACUGAAAGCUACCUCCAACACUCCCGCAGCUCCAGUCAACCCUGCUGCAGGGCCAGCUCCUGUGACAACUCCGUCUUCAAUACAGGAUCGGCUUCAAGCAGCUCAGCUGUCAGCUCCUGUUGUUUCAACUAAUCAAAGCCUACCCAACGCUGCUACAACGUUCGUACCUUCUGCUCCUGCCCAAGCAACCCAGAAUGUGAACCCUGUUGCUUCGGCACCCGGUUCUUUCGUACCUUCCAACCCCCCUGCAACUUCGCUUCCCACCUCGCUAACUUUCACCAACUCGCAGCAAACAUCAUUUACUGCUCCCACUACGAAUUUUGAAGAUAUUCUCAGGAAGUCCAGCCUGAAUCCAGACGUGUGUGAUUUUCAGCCAGGUCGUCCAAGGGUGGUCAGUUCUCAGACGGUGGCCAACCCAAGUGAAGUGGAAGCAGCGGUCAAGAAGCUGAUCGAAGAUUUUACCCAAAGGAAAAACUUCUUCAAACAAAAUCUCGCCUACUAUGUUGAUAAUCACCUCAAACCAUUUUUGUCAAAUGCAGGAAAUAUUGAUGUUUUAAUUAGGACCUUGUUAAACAUUGUACUGGAAAAUGAAGAUUUUAUGUAUACGCUUGUGAAUCUUCUAACCACCUGUGCCACUGCCUGUAGUAGUUGUGACUUCAUUUCUCAAGUUGUAUCAACAGUCAAAUCCAUGUCCAGGGAGUUCAACCACACAGAUGAAGAAAACAAUUUCAUUUUAGUAAUGGCAUAUUUGUAUCAAGGAUUAGCAGAAAAAUAUGCCAGCCAGUCAGCCCUGCUAUCUGAAGAGUUCCGCGCUGAUAUAAUGGCAAUGCUCAUGACGGAAGAUUUACCCAAAGUCAAACUUGCACUCCGUGCCCUCCAGAUUGCCCUUGGAAGACUGGAGAGGGAGCACAGUUCAUAUUUUGAGCAAGAAGUUGUAGCGUAUCUAUCUUAUUUAAGUGAAAAUAAAAGCGAAGUUCGGGACUCUAUUCAGCAAGUAAUUCACUACCGCUGCCUAUUACGCCAAUAUCAGGAUGAAGAAGCAUUGCAUGAUGAACUUAGCGAUAACCGUGCACAAUAUGAUUACUCGUCCAAUCACUCACAACCAAUGUGCGGACCGGAUGGGCAAGCUCUAACCGAUGAAGAGAUUCAUUUUUUGCAUAAUAUGUCACAAGAAGUUGAUUGUAUUCGGCUCGAUCAGCUGGGAGAAAUACUAGAUGAAGCGUAUGAAGAUGAAAUGGAUGAUGAUGCUUACAAUGCCCUCGAUGAAUUUUUAAAAACAAUACCAAAAUAA